GUCAGCCUGUGGCUGACCGGGGAGGCGGCCUGGCUGGGGGCCGGGCGCGGCGGGUUCGCGCUGCCGCAGGCGAGCCCC
rnacentral:tRNA from 1 species